rnacentral:rRNA from 1 species
UACGUAGGGUGCGAGCGUUGUCCGGAAUUAUUGGGCGUAAAGAGCUCGUAGGCGGUUUGUCGCGUCUGCUGUGAAAACUGGAGGCUCAACCUCCAGCCUGCAGUGGGUACGGGCAGACUAGAGUGCGGUAGGGGAGAUUGGAAUUCCUGGUGUAGCGGUGAAAUGCGCAGAUAUCAGGAGGAACACCAGCGGCGAAGGCGGCGCUCUGGGCCGGUACUGACACUGAGGAGCGAAAGCGUGGGGAUCAAACAGG